rnacentral:lncRNA from 1 species
CCCGUGCCUUUCCAGAGCUCAUUUUCUCAGCAAGUACAUUUUUAGUUUCUCUACUGGCCCUGCACUGUGCUAGACAUUAUGAACCCAUGGACAGACAAGGGACAGAUGGCCCUUGUACUUGCCCUUGAGCUAUUCACAGUGUGAGUGAGAGCGGUGACCCUGGGGAUGACCUCGCCAUCCAGAGUGAGGAGUGACCGUGCACUAACAGAGGAGCCUAUCGGGGAAGGGACUCAGCAGAGCAGUUGCUGUCUGGCCCCCACCCAUGGUCGGCGGCAGUAUCGCAGAGCAGGGACAGCUGAGGGCAUGCAGGGAACACGGGCGCAGGUGGAGAAGAACAGGAGUGCUGAGCUUGGGCUCUGCCGUCCCGUGGGUUUGUUCUCAUGCUCUUCCUUCCCUCCCCUUCAUCCUUCUGCGUCUCCUGGGGCUUCUCUCGCCUGCCAGCUGUAUGCUGUGAAGCCCUAUCGCGAGAACACAUUUGGAGUCAGCUCCCUGAGGCUCCUCCAAGCCCUGGGUCCCAUCACCGCCCUGCGCCUUGUCGCCAGCGCAGACGUGGACCAGCUGUGGAGCACGGAGAUCCCCCAGAUGUUGCAGAUGCUGUAUGAACACACAGAGAAGAGCCUGGAUCAGGAGGAGUGGGAGGACAGGCUGCUCCAGUUUUAUAGCAGGUCACUGGAGGCCAUCAGUGAUGACAGCUGGCUGGAGCAACAGACUGUGACCACCCUGGAAAGGAUAGAAAAUGGCAGUGACGAGGAGGAACAGAAGGCCUUCCUCUACAAAUUCUUUGCCUUCACCCUGCGGACCUCAAGCAGUCCGGACCUGGUGCGGAGGAUGCUCUCUGCAGUGCUGAACGCCUCCCACGAGGAGCCGCAGCAGAGGGAGGGCAUCGCCGUGGCACUCGCUAUCGUGUCCCUGAGACACCUGAGGGUAGCUCUGGACCAGCUGGAAGUGUACGGCGCGAACCUCACCGACAAGGACAGAUCGUGUGUCCUGACACUGACCAAGGAACAUCAGCACAGGGAGUGGGGGCUGGUCUGUAGCACCGUCUACCUAAGCUACAGGAAGAUAAUCUCAGUGACUGAAGAUGCCCUCUCACUACCUCUCGAUUCCAUUCUGGCCUUGGCCGUGGAACACUACGGCCACUGCAUCGUGGAAAAGGAUACGACUCUGACUCUGGCCUACCUGGACGCCCUGACGCAGAUGACCAGCUUCCUGGGCGAGCGGCCCAUGCCCUUGCCAUGCGAGGUUCCCCCCACAAACUAG